UCGCCUGUUUAACAAAAACAUGUCCUUUUGGUAUUUAUUUAAGGUCUAACCUGCCCAAUGAUUUUUCAAUGGCCGCGGUAAUUUGACCGUGCAAAGGUAGCAUAAUCACUUGUCUCUUAAUUGGAGGCUAGAAUGAAUGGUUGGACGAGAUAUAUACUUUCUUUUUUGUAUUAUAUUGAAUUUAAUUUUUGAGUCAGAAAGCUUAAAUUUUUUUAUAGGACGAGAAGACCCUGUAGAAUUUUAUAUUGAAUUAAUUUUAGUGUUUUUUGUUUAUUAUUGGCUCUUUCUUUAUUUUAGUAUUUUGUUGGGGCGACAGGAAGAUUUAUUUAACUCUUUUUUUUUUAUUCAUUGAUUUAUGUUUUAUUUUUGAUCCUUUAUUAAAGAUUAAAAGAUUAAAUUACCUCAGGGAUAACAGCGUAAUCCUUUUGGAAAGUUCUUAUCGAUAAAAGGGUUUGCGACCUCGAUGUUGGAUUAAAA
rnacentral:rRNA from 1 species